rnacentral:tRNA from 1 species
AGGAUUAUAGUUUAAAAAAAACAUUUGAUUUGCAAUCAAAAAUUAUUAUUUCAAUUUAUCUUU